UGUUCCUGCUCCAGAAGGGACAGGUGUGCUUUCCCCUCUGGCCACAUGCAAAGCCCUCCCUGCCUCCAUAUCAAGUGGUCAUCUACCUGUCCAGCGACUCCUUCAUAUCCUGCAAAAACAGGGAGGGAGAUCCAUGAUGCCUUGUUAGGAAUGUGGGGCAUCCCCAAGCACCAUGUGUGGACAUUUCUGGCUUGCAGAGCAAGAAUGUGUAAUGCUUUCCCAUGACCUCUCCCAGUUUCCUGAGUGGAUCCCUAUCUUUUGGCUGCCCAGGCUUCCUGCUGCUCCCCUGCAUGGGAGCAUGGACAUGGAAACUGUCCUGCUUUCAAUGGCAGGGAAGGCAUAGGAGACCCAAGGUUGCUCUCACGUUGUAGGCCUGUAUUCAAGAGUGUAUAGGGGUGGUGAACAAGCUGCUUUUUACUAGAAGACCAAGUAUUCCCCAAAGUUGGGGCAAGCGCAUAGUCUGUUAACUAAACCAGGACACUUACUGGGGACAAAACCCAAGAUGCCAGGACAACAGGCAUGAAAUGGGCUGACCUUGCACAUGGCAUCUGCUUCAGUUGUAUAAAUACACUGAGUGUGUGAUGGCUCACAAUGUGAGAUAUUUUUUUUUUUUUGCUAUGGGUCCUGUCAUUCCACACAGUUGAUGAGCCAGUUACUCACCUGCUGGGCAACAUAAUCACUCCCACUUCUCAGGCCUCAAAAUGCAGGCCCAUCCCCAGCACCUUCUCCCCCAUUCCAAAUCCUCUCAGAUGGAUUCACAUGACUUGCUCCUGCCUUGAAUUUACCAGGCCUGAGAUGGCUGGUGUGUCCCUGCCUCACAUCACCAUGUGAAUGACAGCUGCCCCUGGGCUACAGCCCCUGGACUAGGAAUGAAAUGCAGAACACAGGUGUCGGAAACCUGUCAGGCUGAUUGUGUCCCCCAUAUCCAUGUGUUGGAACCCAGCCCCCAGGACCUCAGAUGAGGCUGUAUGUGGAGAUGGGGCCUUGCAGAGGUGAUGAAGGUGAAAUGAGGUCCCUAGGGAGGGCCGUAAUCCAGUGUGACUUGGUGUCCUUAGAAGAUCGAGACAGAUGCAGAGGGAUGACCAUAUGAGGACACAGGUAGGAGAUGGUUAUCCAGACACCAAGGAGAGGUGCCUCAGGAAGCAGUUUUGUCCCCACCUGGAUCCCUCCUUUCAGCCCCCAGGACUGUGAGAAAUAAAUGUCCUUUUAAGCCCCCAGCCUGUGGUAUCUGUUAUGCAGCUCUGAGCUGACAGAGAUGGAGCCUUCCCUGUUGAUGUCUAUUUGCGCCAGCAGGCCAACCACACCCAGCCAGAGCCUGUGCCCCCUCCACCCUGAAGUCAGGGCCUGCAGGAGGUGCUGCUCCUCCUCCACCAGAAGGACAGCCAUCUUCUUAAACUCCAUCAUGACUCGCUGUCUCCGCUCCUGCACCUUCUCCUGCAGGGCAGGGGCUGGAGGUGCUCCAUGUCAUCCUCCAGCUUCAGCUGCGAACAACAGACCAGGGGAUGGGGGUCGGAGGCCCCUGUACACCCACAUCGGGAGGUGCUCUCUGAAGCUGCACCCUAAGGGGGAUGGAAAUAUACCACCCCAAAAUAUGCCCCUUGGGCAGGAGAAUUGUUUUGAGCUGGAGGCAAAUGAGAAUCUACAGAUGCAGAAAUGCCUUCUGUGGCUCCCAAUAUGUGACUAAAAGAAACUGCUAAGAACUGAGGGCUGCCAUGAAUUUGCCUCCCAGGGAAGUUUUAUGGCCAUGAAGGGGGUAAAAAGUGGGUACCAAGAGGGACCUACACUGAUGAACCUUAUCUUUCAUUAGUUUCCCUAAAAUAUUUACAUUCUGUCAAUGAUCUGAAUGUUCAUGUUCCCUCAAAUUAACAGGUUACAUCCUAAUACCCAAGGCAUCGGAGGUGGGGCCUUUGGGAGGUGAUGAUGGCACCAGUGGGGAGCCCUCAGGAAUGGGUGGGGUCAGUGCCCUACUGAGACCUUAGAGCUCCCAGCCCCUUGCUCCCUGUGAGGACAAUGAGAAAUCCGCUGUCUGUGAACCAGGAAGGGGCCGCACCUGACCCUGCUGGUGCCAUGUUCUUAGACUUCCAGCCCCCCAAACCAUGAGCUCUCUGAAAUUCUUGCUGUUUAUAAGCCACCAGGUCUUGAGUUCUGUGACAGCAGCUGGAAUGAACCAAGACACCUUUCCCAGUUUGCUCCCCUUGGGAUCCUGUUACCUUUCCCUUUGUCUCUUCUCUCCAAAUGUGUUGUUCCUUGUUCAGAUGCUAGACAACCCAGGUUCUAAAACUACCUGUUACUGGUUGCUGUGGUUUCUUCCCUGUGAAGUACAUGGACUACACAUGUUAACAGUUCGCCUUUCUUCCCUUGAUAUGUCUUUUGUAGUCUAAUUUAGGAUGGAAGGAAAAGACUUUUUCUUCCCCUACAGAAGGUCACCUGGCUUGCCCAUACAGACAGGUUCGAGGCCACUUUGUCAGCCUGGGUUCCUGAAUAACUGGAGAGGAUGCCUACCUGGCCAGCCACCUGCCUACUUUGUUGUGGGGGGUGCAGACACUUCCACCAUGGGGGCCAGCAUAUGGGGCUAUUUGUUAUAAGGUUCAUUCUCCUGCCUGACUGACACUGCUUGACACAUGUGCCCUUGGGCCUCAUUGGCCCCUGCAGCCCCUCAUCCCUGGGCCCACC